UUUUUUUUCUUUUAUUUGGUUUAAUUUGAUUAAUAUAGGCUGGCAAUUCCAGCCCUAUACAUCUUACAUACUCAGGUUUAUUUGUGUUUAAUCAUAUACCAUUUGGCCACAAAAUAACAUUUCACCUACAAAAACUCUGUUUUUACUCUUAUGGUCUGCCGCUUCACUAUUGUUAAGAACGUUGUUAUUUAACUUGCAAUAAAAUGAAAACUAUCCAUUGGCAUAAUUAUGUGACGCUCCAAGACAUUCGCACUUUUUGGCUGGUUGAAAAUUCACAUCAAGUGAAUUUUACCUAAUAUUUUGUAACCCUUAGGUUUUUUAUUUCAAGUUCUAAAAAACACCUUAAUUUUACUUAGUAGUACUAAAUUUGGUAAAAUUCACCAACGAACAAUUUGAGAUGAAACGAGUACGAUUUAAUUAGCUUAAUCAGUUUUCAAAAUUGAAAGUGACAAACCUUAGAAGCAACUGUUGCAAUAAUAUGCUUACUCUAACUUGGAAAUUGGAAGUGUACGGAGAAAAUUUUUGCUUUUGCGCCUUUCUUUAAUUUGGAGUAACAAUUAUUGUAGCAAAAUUCAACAUCUAAUGCUCCAUUUUUUCAUCCUAUAUUUUUUUGACUAUCCAAUAAAAUCGAUAAAAAUGGAAGACAAGAGAACACAAAUAUUUGAAGUAUAUAAAUGAAAUAAAGGAGUGAAAUAUAUUCAAUACAUAGAGCCGUCCAAAAUAUCACAAUGAAGUCAGAAUCAUAUCUCAUAAAGCUACCAUACCUAGAAUCCAUAAACACAGUAGAAAAUCCAUGACCUAUACAUAAAAACGAAACAUUUCCUAAUAUAUCAUAUAUACGCUGCACAACACCGCAAAACUCACAAAGGAAAUAGAAAUGCAAACAAUGAAUAACCAGCAGUAGAACUUCAGAUCCUGAGAGCAGAUCCGAAGAGGAAAGCGACGACGGUGACAGCACAACCGGCGGCGAAUGACGGAGAGAUAGAUCCGACAGAUGAAGCUGGCGCCGGUGCAGGUGCAUCGGCGGCAACCGUAGCUCCGAUGAGAGAGCAAAAGGUGACGAUCACAGCGAACAUUGCUAGAACUGAGGAAGAUGACUUUGAAACCGCCAUUUAUGCUUGAAAUGAGGGGUGAAAGUGAGAAAAUUUAGAGAUCUGAAAAGAAUGUGAAAAUGGCUGAACGAAGCAACAACGGAGUGGGGAUAAUAGUGGUGAGCUUCAUAUAUAGCAGUGAGUGAGAAUUUGGGCAGGGUGACAGGUUAUACGGGCAGCUGCCCGGGAUUAACAGGCUGGCGAGUAGUUGAAUGACACUGGUUAAGUGGGGUCCACUUACAGUUACGAUAUUUUCUUCUAAGGGAAGUUUUGUGGUAGCCACGAUAACGCUUUUAGUGGAAUCCGAUGCGAAUUUCUGGAGUUGGAAUCAUGAGCCCGAAACUUAAAAUAGUGCUAAAUAUUUGGGCCCACUUCUGCAGGA
rnacentral:lncRNA from 1 species